rnacentral:rRNA from 1 species
AUUGAACGCUGGCGGCAGGCCUAACACAUGCAAGUCGAGCGAGCGGCGGACGGGUGAGUAAUGGAUGGGGACUGCCCGAUAGAGGGGGAUAACUACUGGAAACGGUGGCUAAUACCGCAUACUAUCGGAUAACCCAUAUGGGAUUAGCUAGUAGGUGGGGUAAAGGCUCACGUAGGCGACGAUCUCUAGCUGGUCUGAGAGGAUGAUCGGCAACCUUGGGACUGAGACACGUCCCAGACACCUACGGGGGCAGCAGUGGGGAAGAUUGCGCAAUGGGCGCAAGCCGGAUGCAGCCAUGCCGCGUGUAUGAAGAAGGACCUAGGGUUGUAAAGUAAUGUCAGCGGGGAGGCGUUACCCGCAGAAGAAGCACCCGCUAACUCCGUGCCAGCAGCCGCGGUAAUUC